CUUCUUCGGCAGUGAUAACAGACCAUCUCCAGCGACAUCUCGUCAGCAAACAAAUCCCUUCUUCGCCGGCAUUGGGGUAUUUCCAGGAAUUUUGUCAAGACUCGCACCCCUACCCAAGUUGCCAGCCACGCCCAGAAGUACUACCUCCGCAAAAGAAUCUCAAUCGCCGUCGCCGCUGAUCCAGCCUCUUUGACCUCACCCCUGACUCGGUCACUGGUGUGCCAAUGGAAGAGGGAGACGGUCAUCUAGAUGAAACAGCGAAGCCAGCCCUCUCUGCAACCUCAAUGCCUCCCAACGAAAACUUUUUCUUACAAUCUGGUAAUGUAGGGUAGUGUUUUUCUUACAAUCUGGUGAGACCAUUUGUAAAGCUGAAGAACUUCUGUGGAAGGCCACGAUUCCAAAUUAACAUUUUUCCCAAUCGCAUAAUACCAUGAAAGUUUUGCCUGCUCAAACUGUUGCUGCCCAAGAGCUAGAAUGCCUUCAUAGAAAUUUGGCUUGAUAAGAAGUGCUUCUUCAUAUUUCUUACCAGCUGUGGAGUAUUCCUUUUGUGCCCAACCAUAUGCAUUUUUCACCUGCUCUAACACAGACUCCCUUGAAGCAUCUUCAGUGCGUUUUAAAGAUUGGCAGGUGCCUGCCCUUCCUAAUAGUCGAGAUUCGUUUCUUUGUUCAAGCCCUGAGGGCAACUGAGCUCCCAAGGUGGUUAAUGAUGGUGUGACUAUUGCUCGAGCUAUUGAGUUGCCUAAUGCUAUGGAAAAUGCUGGUGCUCAAUUGAUUAGGGAGGUUGCAAGCAAGACGAAUGAUUCUGCUGGUGAUGGAACAACUACUGCAUCACUUCUUGCUCGCGAAAUUAUUAAGCUUGGCUUGCUGAGUGUUACUUCUGGUGCCAAUCCAGUUUCUGUGAAGAAAGGCAUUGAUAAAACUGUACAAGGUUUGAUUGAUUAGCUAGAGAAAAAGGCCAGGCCAAUUAAAGGUCGUGAAGAUGUCAAAGCCAUUGCUACUAUCUCUGCUGGAAAUGAUGAAACUAUUGGAAUCAUGGUUGCUGAUGCAAUUGACAAGAUUGGACCUGAUGGUGUCUUGUCCAUUGAGUCAUCCUCUUCCUUUGAGACUACAGUCAAUGUGGAGGAAGGAAUGGAGAUUGAUGGGGGAUGCAUCUCUCCACAAUUUGUUGCCAAUCCUGAGAAACUAAUUGUUGAGUUUGAGAAUGCACGGGCAUUGGUCACAGAUCAGAAGAUCUCUGCUGUUAAGGACAUAAUCUUCAGUGCUAUUAAUGAUGUAAUCAUGAUUUACUACCUGGGCAACUGAUAUUUUUGGGACCAUUUUCCAUUUGAAGAUGUGAUUUUCGUUUUUGUUGAGCAAUAUUUUAUAUUUUGGCAUAUAUUUGCCUCUGUAUGUAUUGAAUUGUUCCAGAUUUUUGAUCCAACUGAGGCCGACAACAUUUAAAGCAGGGAUUUGAGUCACUCUAGGCUUGAUUAGGGUGCUUUUAUGUA